UACAGAGGUCCCGAGCGUUGUUCGGAUUCACUGGGCGUAAAGGGUGCGUAGGUGGUGAGGUAAGUCGGAUGUGAAAUCUCCGAGCUCAACUCGGAAAUGGCAUUGGAAACUACCUUGCUCGAGGGUUGGAGGGGGGACUGGAAUACUUGGUGUAGCGGUGGAAUGCGCAGAUAUCAGGAGGAACACCAAUAGCGAAGGCAGCUCGCUGGGACGUUACUGACACUGAGGCGCGAAAGCGUGGGGAGCGAACAGG
rnacentral:rRNA from 1 species